ACUUUUUAGAGUGAACUGCACCUGCUCUGGCAGAAUGUCCUCUUGUCUUCUGCCUCUGCCUCCCAUCUCUGUAGUAAUUAUGGCACCAGCCAGGUUUACGGUGCUUCAGGAAAGCCAGUUGCCCAUGCUCCUUCAUGGAUCCAGGACAUUUUCACUUGAGGGGCCUCUCUCAUCCUGUUUAUGUUAGUUCUAAUCAUUCUUCAUGAGGGGGAAAAUCAUUUUAUAAUGCAGCUGCACAUUCCCAGCUGAUGCAGGUUUCCUGUUUACAUUGCAUUAGACACCAGAUCAAACGGAGAGCCACUUCUGUAAAAUGACUGCUGUUACAGUGGUGAAACCCUGCUCAUUCUACAUUGGCUCCUGGUUUUAACAUGGUGUUCCCUCUACUGCUCAAGGAGCUCUUGGAGGAAUACAGCACAGGGGAACGAGAAAUAUUUUCCAUGUCUUCUUACAGUCAAGACUUAAGGAUUCCCAAAGUGUGAAAACCCACUUGCUGAUUUCUACAAGCCAGUUGCUGCAGGCUAGGGACAAAGUGUCAUGGGAAGGAUGAAUAAUUAGGAGCCAGCAGGAGAAAAUAGCAUGGAGGGAACUUCAGAUCUUGGAUGCAGUGCUUCAUACAUGUACUUGGAAAUGUAGAAUUUACAAGAUGCACAAACAAGAUGCAAGCACAAUAUUUUAAAGAACCAGAUUACUACUUGUCUCUUUUCAUCUGUAGUGGGUGCCCUUAGAUGUGUGACUUUAAAGCGAAAUUGUGUUUGCCAGCUUGCGUCACCAGCAUGGAGUUUCGGUAGCAAUUUUUGAAAACUAUAAAUAAUGCAAAAUUGCACAUGUGCGCAGAGACACUUACUAAUGUGUGUUGAGUGUUCUGUUAAUAUUUGCUUGAUUUUUAAAAAGCAUUUAUUGCAAAUAUGAAUACGCAGUUUGCGAGGGAACUUGCGAGGGGACGCAUAUACAACGAGGACAGGUAUCCUGGUUCCACUUGCUGACUCAGUUCACAGUUUGGGACUAAUGUUUCACACCACACUAUCCAUCCUGGAAACAUGCAAAGCAAACAUGGGGCCGAGCGGAUAUAAACCAUCAUCUAUGCAAUAAGGAGAGAAUGUUGAUGACUUGCAGAAGGUGAAUAAAAAGGGUUGGGGGGUAUGUUUUGUGAGACCAUCUGCUACUGUGAUUUGGAGCCUCCAUAUAAAACCAUGGCUCUAGCUCAUACAAAAGCCUUUAAAUAGGGUAACUAAUGGGUCACAUGCAUCCUUGCUUGUAAGGUUAAGACCCACAAGUCAUCAUUUGUAAGAAGGUGGGGGAUGAAUUGUUCACUGGAGGGAAAAGACAUUAAAUCUAAAUCCAUUGUAGCAGCCACAGGGGACUCUAUUGUUUCUCAGUAUUAUGUGUCUUAAUGAAAUGCAACUUAAUGCAUGUCUGUUGCUCUUGCCCCUCCGAUUUUGAGCCCUACUGCUACCUUCUUAGAAAAAGGGUGGUUCCCAAGUCUUCACCGCCAUCAAAAGCAAUUUUCCUCAAUCACCUGCUGUCUGCUGCUUUCUUCUCAUAGAAUAGCCUUGGGUUUUGACACAAACUAGGAAAUGCAGGACCAUUAGUUUCUGUGUUUGCUUUUCUGUGACCAUUGAAAAAAAAUAUCAGUGUUUAAAGAAUGGAGGCAGGGAAGUCUCAGGAGGAGGGGAGAAAUGUCUGGGAUGUACCUAGUAUGAAUGGAGAUCUGGACGAGGAGUUCAUGCUUGGGUGGGCAAAGCUUGUUCUGGAAGACUAUGGCAAAUCUCACCCAGGGUUCAUUUGCUGGUCAAAACCCACUAAUCAUGAGAGAGGGAUUCUGUGCUGGGGAGGACAGAACAGUGGGUCAAUCACAACAGGUCAUUGAUAUUGCCUUACAGUGCCAUACUGGGGUGGCUGGGAGGUUUCAUUGCUUAAUGGCAUCUCUGUCUUAUUUUGGACCCCAAGCUGCUGCUGCUGCUGCUGCUGCUCUUUAUCACUUUUAUAGCACCAACAGUAUGGUAGACUGUUGACCUAACUAAUUCCAUAUGUGUUAGACUAGACGAAUGAUCUUUGUACACAUAGGGAUUGUUUCAAACACUGAAGCUAUACAAGACUUCAGGUUUUUUUUCAGGGCAUUUUUAUGGAUGGCAUUGUUCAGCAGCUCCAUUUUGGCUUCUACUUUAGUUUAAAAUGAUAGUAGCGAUGGCUUCUCUUCCCAGCAACUAGCUGGCAAUUCUUUGUCUUACAAAGGUCUUCCCCCCCCCCCUUUUGAAAGAGGUGUUUAGGCAUCUGGUUUUCAAUCUCCUCCUUUUGCCUUCACUCCAUUAAUCAAAUUGGAAAAGCUGUGUCCUGGUACUGAAGUUUCUUUCCGAUCAUCACAUUGACCUCACUUUGUCAAGAAUGUUGCUGCUGCUUUCAGGUUAACUUUAUCUUCCAUCAGUUUUGAGUACCAUUAGUCUCUGUGCUUUAAUCUUUAUGUUUUGUGUUUCUCCCACUAUGUUCUUUUCUGGAGAUAUUAAAGGUCAAUCUACAUGCGCAUAUAUACAUUUUUUCCUUUUGAAGCUGGAAUUCGUUUUGGCUCUCCUAACUAGGCGAGUGUUGAAAAUCACAAGUUCCUUCUUGCCCACAAAGCUGAUCUCUUUUGAUCAUUGUUAAGGGACUUCGGGGCAGGAAAAGCAUGUGCUCUGGCUGCCAGACAACACUUGCUGUAGGUAGAUCAUUAGCUUUGCUCCACUGAGAAGAGCAGAUUGCUCACUUAAACAAGACCUGUGACAAAACAAACUAUACAGUAGUUUUGAUUUAGUUCUUUAUAAUAUCACAUAGUGUUUGUGGGUGAAAAAUGUAUAGGUAUUCAAUGAGAGAGAGAGAGAGAUCUGGACUAAGUUAAUUGAACAAGUUCUGUUGAAAUCACUGUUAACAAGCUAGUCAUGAUUUAAGUCCAACAGAUUUCAAUAGGAACUGUAUACAACUAAAUCUCUUUGGGUUUAGAAGCACUUCCCCAAACACAGUGGAACUCUCCUCCCCACCUGUCCCCUUGUCCUGCACCACCCCAAAUUUGCUCUGGGAGUCUGGGAAAAACCCCAGAGCAGAUCUGUGUAGGGAGUAGAGGGAGGAGAUGUUCCAUAGCACUUACAGAAAUCAUUUCUUAUGCGCAUUGAUUUAGUUGGAUACAAACUGUAGGCUGGAUACUACCCACUAUAUAUGUGAAAUGCAAACCUAUCUGGUAAAAGCUAUACAGAUGUCUACCCAUUCUUGGAAUCUCAGUUAAGACUGAAUUAUGUAUGUAUCUUUGUCCUUUGGGAUAAUGUCACUUCAGCAGAAAUAUGUGUAUUCCUUCUCAUCUACCACAUAUAUUCUGCCAAACAUUCAAGGUUUCUUGGAACAGCAGCAGAAAGGAAAUUUCUGUACUUUGCCAACUGUACCCUGUAAAUAUUCAGCUCCUUAUUUCUCCUUGGGGAGUAGAUAUCUUGAGAUUCCAUAUGGGCACUUACUGAGGCGGGAUUCCUUCCUGUCAUUCAUUCAUAACAAGCUGAUUUCCCUUGAAACAACACCGGGAAAUUGAGGGGCUCCUGUGAGGUCAGGGCUAUCCAGUGUAGUGCCCUCCAGAUAUUGUGGACUACAUCUCCCAGCAGCCCCAGGCAGCAUGGCAAAUGUUUAGGGAAUUAUAUAUUUUUAUUUUAUUUCAUAAAAUGUAUAUACUGCUUGGAUGUAAGGGGAAAUAAGCCCUAUCAAAGCUGUUGGCAAAAAUCAUGGGAGUUGUAGUCCAAAAAUCUGGAGGGCAUCACACUGGCUAGCCCUAUAUUAGGUUCAUUGUUCAUAAUUUUGAUAAAUGCCACACUUUGUUUCAAUACAAGUCAUUCAGAGCUUCUGUUGAUGAUGAUGUUCUGUCAUAAUCAUAACAUUUGUUGUUUAGUCGUUUAGUCGUGUCCGACUCUUCGUGACCCCAUGGACCAGAGCACGCCAGGCACUCCUGUCUUCCACCGCCUCCCGCAGUUUGGUCAGGCUCAUGUUUGUAGCUUCAAGAACACUGUCCAACCAUCUUGUCCCCUGUCGUCCCCUUCUCCUUGUGCCCUCCAUCUUUCCCAACAUCAGGGUCUUUUCCAGGGAGUCUUCUCUUCUCAUGAGGUGGCCAAAGUAUUGGAGCCUCAACUUCACGAUCUGUCCUUUCAGUGAGCACUCAGGGCUGAUUUCCUUCAGAAUGGAUAGGUUUGAUCUUCUUGCAGUCCAUGGGACUCUCAAGAGUCUCCUCCAGCACCAUAAUUCAAAAGCAUCAAUUCUUCGGCGAUCAGCCUUCUUGAUGGUCCAGCUCUCACUUCCAUACAUCACUACUGGGAAAACCAUAGCUUUAACUAUACGGACCUUUGUUGGCAAGGUGAUGUCUCUGCUUUUUAAGAUGCUGUCUAGGUUUGCCAUCGCCUUUCUCCCAAGGAGCAGGCGUCUCUUAAUUUCGUGACUGCUGUCACCAUCUGCAGUGAUCAUGGAGCCCAAAAAAGUAAAAUCUCUCACUGCCUCCAUUUCUUCCCCUUCUAUUUGCCAGGAGGUGAUGGGACCAGUGGCCAUGAUCUUCGUUUUUUUGAUGUUGAGCUUCAGACCAUAUUUUGCGCUCAUAACAUAGAACCAAUGAAUACAAUAGCCAUUCGUUAAAACAACCUUUUAAUAAUAGCUUUAAAUUGUUUAAAAAUCAGAUUAAAACUGAAUGUCCUAGUAAACACUGCCACCCUUCAAGUGGCCUGACAAGGACAUGUGGGCUUUUAGGAUGUAUGGAAUGAUGAGGCAUCCGUUGAGGGUGCAUGGGAAAUGGAUGUGCUGGAGAAGAAGGCGAUGGUCUGCUCAGGCUCCUAAUAGCUCAUUGUAAAUGUCAGAGCUGCUUCCAGAUCCUAGCUCACAGAGGAUCACGCUAGCCAGCGAUCAUUAAACAAAAGUCUUUAUUGAGUUACAGUUUCCAUUCUCAAACUGCUGCGUGCAACUCUACGUCUCAUGGUUAGACCGGCGAAGCUCCGUCUGAGUCUCCACCCCUUGUACACCAACUUAAUAUCCUAGCCCUGCUCCACCUUUUCCGCCUGACUGUUCUUCUCUGGGUCCCUCUGCCCCCUGGGGUCUCUUCUUUCCGGGAUUCCUCUGACGCUGACCCCCCUGACUCUUCUCCCUCCUUUCGGCGGGCUUUAGGACCUGGCUCCCUUUCCGGGCUGCCUACUGUGCCACCUUCCUGUGCAUUUGAACUUGCGCGCGCGCCCAACCUUCCACCUUCCGUCUGACCGUUUCUUCGCUCCCCGAUGGAGGUGUGGCCACUCCUGACUCGUGCCCUCCCCCCUGUUGUGAGCUGCCAGCGCUUGAUCCCUGGCUCCCUUCCUCUUCCCUGCUCUCUGGCGGUGACGCUGGUCCCGAUUUCCAACUGCUCCCCUCUGAGUCCCCUCUGGCUCUAUCUUCCUGGGGUGUCCCCUAGGCUCCCCCCUCGCCCUGGCCACUGGUGCUCCUUUCUGUGAAUCUUCUGAUUCACUGGAAAGACUCGGAGAUCUCGGGUCGUCGUCAUCACUCAUCUUUUCUUCUGCCUCCUCCCCCUCGCUCUCUGUUUCCUCCCUUGCCCUUGCCUCUGCUCCUGAACCCCUGACAGUAAAUAUCCCAGAAGAGAGAUUAGGGUUGUGGGUGGGGGUUGUCCCUUGAGGUCUACCUUGUACUAUACGGAGAUGUUUCAGGAGGAGCAAAUUAAAAAAGGUUUGAUGUCAUGUUAUUAAUAACUUUUUCUGUUAGGAGGUAGCAAAGUGGAUGAAAGGAGAAACAAACCAGAAGUGGAAGUUGGGGGAAGCCUACGAGGGGAGGGAGGAAGGAAUACAUAAUAAAUGUUAAGAAUCUGAGAUGUAUGUAAUGAAUG